rnacentral:lncRNA from 1 species
CCGCUGAUGUGCUGUCUCUCUUCUUCGGUUUUCUUCAGGGGGAACCGGCAGCCCGACCGCAAGUGCCAGAGGAGGGACCCCAGGAGGUUCCGAGGGCUUGACAGCAGCACCCGGCAGUGAGAGCACACGUGGAGACUCCGGCGCCCCAGGCACGAC